rnacentral:rRNA from 1 species
UAGAGUUUKAUCCUGGCUCAGGACGAACGCUGGCGGCGUGCUUAACACAUGCAAGUCGAGCGAGGCCCUCCUUCGGGGGGUGCCCUAGCGGCGAACGGGUGAGUAACACGUGGGCAACCUGCCCUCAGCUCUGGGAUAACUCCAAGAAAUUGGUGCUAAUACCGGAUGUGACCGCUGACCGCAUGGUCUGGUGGUGGAAAGAUUCAUCGGCUGAGGAUGGGCCCGCGGCCUAUCAGCUUGUUGGUGGGGUAAUGGCCCACCAAGGCGACGACGGGUAGCCGGCCUGAGAGGGUGACCGGCCACACUGGGACUGAGACACGGCCCAGACUCCUACGGGAGGCAGCAGUGGGGAAUAUUGCGCAAUGGGCGAAAGCCUGACGCAGCGACGCCGCGUGAGGGAUGACGGCCUUCGGGUUGUAAACCUCUUUCAGUAGGGACGAAGCGCAAGUGACGGUACCUACAGAAGAAGCACCGGCCAACUACGUGCCAGCAGCCGCGGUAAUACGUAGGGUGCAAGCGUUGUCCGGAAUUAUUGGGCGUAAAGAGCUCGUAGGCGGUCUGUCACGUCGGCUGUGAAAACCCGAGGCUCAACCUCGGGCCUGCAGUCGAUACGGGCAAACUAGAGUACUGCAGGGGAGACUGGAAUUCCUGGUGUAGCGGUGAAAUGCGCAGAUAUCAGGAGGAACACCGGUGGCGAAGGCGGGUCUCUGGGCAGUAACUGACGC